rnacentral:rRNA from 1 species
GACGAACGCUGGCGGCGUGCUUAACACAUGCGAGUCGAACGGAAAGGCCCUGCUUUUGUGGGGUGCUCGAGUGGCGAACGGGUGAGUAACACGUGAGUAACCUGCCCUUGACUUUGGGAUAACUUCAGGAAACUGGGGCUAAUACCGGAUAGGAGUUCCUGCUGCAUGGUGGGGGUUGGAAAGUUUCGGCGGUUGGGGAUGGACUCGCGGCUUAUCAGCUUGUUGGUGGGGUAGUGGCUUACCAAGGCUUUGACGGGUAGCCGGCCUGAGAGGGUGACCGGCCACAUUGGGACUGAGAUACGGCCCAGACUCCUACGGGAGGCAGCAGUGGGGAAUAUUGCACAAUGGGCGGAAGCCUGAUGCAGCAACGCCGCGUGCGGGAUGACGGCCUUCGGGUUGUAAACCGCUUUCGCCUGUGACGAAGCGUGAGUGACGGUAAUGGGUAAAGAAGCACCGGCUAACUACGUG